UACGGGGGGAGCAAGUGUUGUUCGGAUUUACUGGGCGUAAAGGGCGCGUAGGCGGUCAGCACAAGUCAGUUGUGAAAUCUCCGGGCUUAACUCGGAAAGGUCAACUGAUACUGUGCGACUAGAGUGCAGAAGGGGCAACUGGAAUUCUCGGUGUAGCGGAUGAAAUGCGUAGAUAUCGAGAGGAACACCUGCGGCGAAGGCGGGUUGCUGGGCUGACACUGACGCUGAUGCGCGAAAGCCAGGGGAGCGAACGGG
rnacentral:rRNA from 1 species